ACACACAGCUCAUAGCAACGCCGGAUCAUUAACCCACUGAGCAAGGGCAGGGAUCAAACCAACAACCUCAUGGUUCCUAGUCGGAUUCGUUAACCACUGCGCCACGACAGGAACUCCCGGGGCUGUUUCUUGUUCAUUUUUAUGCUCCUGAAUUUAUGUAGGGCCUGGCACUUUGAGAGUAUUCUGUAAAAGUUUGUUGAAUUGAAUGAUAUUUUUGUAACCCUUUUUGUAACCCUGCUAUCUUAGAAAGCAUUUGAAAUAGCAGUCUAUUAUCAAAAAGAACAUUUUCUGAUAGAAGAUCACACACACACAUAGGGCCUGAAGGGGUGCUUUCCAUUUUCUGUCCACCAGUCAGGUUUAGUAAGUGUUGAUGUCCUGUACCCUUGGUGUUUGCUCCAGGUAGGAUCAGCUCCUGCCUUAGCCUUGGACUCUUUCCAAACGAGGUCUGGCGCCAAGAGCCCAGCAGCCUGAGCUAACACCUUCCCCGCUGUGGUUCCUGUUUCUCAAACCCUCUUGGACCUGAAGCCUUGAGGGUCUUCCACCAACCCAGGUCCCUCUCCUUUAGGCAGCGCCACCUUCCUGACCAACAACAGGAGGCCUGGUUUGACCCAGUGCUCCAGGGCAGGGCUCGGGGCAAGAGACAGAGCCUCUCCUCCCUCAUCCUCUCUGCUUCCCACCUCGUGUGGCCACAGAACUCGAGGAAAUUGUCAAAGUCAGGACACGGCAACUUCCCAAACAACAACACUGCUAUUGCCGAUAAUGUGCCAAGGCUGGGAGUCGGGAGGGCAGAGGGGAAGCAGACCGUGUCCUCCUCACUUUGCCAACCCUGAGACUCGCUUUCCUGUCAGAGACUAAGCUAGAAAAUGCCACUCAAAGGUAUAAGGAAAUUCAAACAAGCAGACAGACUGGGGGAAGAAAUCCUAGCACAUUGGGGGGUAUAGAGGGGGAGGGAAGCAGCGCUGCUGCCAAGUUAUCAGUCACCUGCUCAGGUUCUUAAGAGUCUUUCACUUCUUUUGUUUGCCUGGUUUUCCCUCCCAGAUUCCGAUAAAGCCCAUGAUCCAACCUGUUACCUAACAAGGCUGGUGGCACUUAGCCCUUCUCACCCUCUAGUGGGAACACUGGCCUGGGAUUAAAGCGCAGACCACCAACCCCGAGCCACACACAGCCUGAGCCACCCCAAGGAGUGGGAACCUGUCACACAGUCUUCAAGCGACUUCAAGUGACUUGUCGCAGCACCAACAGGUGGAAUGAAAGUUCUAAUCGCUUCCCUCCUUCUGUUGCUGCCACUAAGGCUGAUGUCCACGGUCUCCAGAAGCCCAAAUACAGGUAAAAAAAAAAAAAUUUUUUUUUAAUUUUCUGUGAAAGAUAAAAAGGUGGGAGAAAUGUGGCAAAACAGAAACGAGCAUGACCACACAUGCAGUAAAAUGCAGCCCCUCUAGGCCUCAGGGACUGGGGGCAAGUUAGCCUUUCUCAGUGUCUGUUUGCUCCUUUAUAAAAAGGAGAGAACUGUACAGAAAUCCAGAGAGGGCUGUGAGAGUUAAACGGGCGGAUGUGUGUGAAAGUGCCUGCAACCGUAGCUGGCGGGGGAGAAGAAAACACAGGCUCCUCAAAGAUUUGCCGCCUUACCUCUGCCCCAAUCCCUGUGGCAGAGAGCAAUGAACCUCCCCAGGGCCAGCCUGGGAGGCGGUGGUGGAGGGUGUUGAAGGUGACUGGACAUCUGAAGACAAGAAGUCGGUCCUCCAUGACAUUCUUUACAGCGCACCAGACGUGUCCCAACCAUUUUUUAGCGCAACUUCAUGGUAAGGUGAUGAUGAACUAGAAAAAUCACACCACCACACAGUACCCAUGUUUGAAGCCCUGUUCGCACAGCUCACCUUUGGGUUAGGGGUUCCGAAUAAGUGCCACUUUUCACUACAGCCAAGUGGCCGAGCCCCUAGCAGGGCAAAUGUGCAGAAGAGACCACAUCCCCACGUGUGUGCCCACUGGAGGGGAACAUCUCCCCAAGGGCUACCUGAAGGCCAAAUAGCUUUGUCACUCAGCAUUGACUCGGCCCUAAAGCCACGGCACCCCAAUUCCCCCGACUCCACCCCAAUUCCAAACGUUCCCUCCCUUACAGAGAGAGCUCUCUGGAAGCCGCUGGCCCCACAGCCCUGGCACUAGACCACCAUUUUGGAAGGGAAGGCUUUUCCACCGCUGUGAUAGACACCAAGGCUCGAGUCCUCAGGCUGGAUUCAAAGCUCCAGCCACGGCUGCCUUUCAGUCCACCCCUACUCACACUCCCGAGUGCUCUGUGCUCCACUCAGCUAGACCCGGGGCUGCUCUGCGCUCUGUAACCUGUUUAGCACCAUCCCUGUGGCCUCGACCUGCUAGAAGCCAAUAGCAGCCUCGCCCAGCAACCCCCUCCCCACCACACCCCCAGUUAACAUAUCCAAAAAUAUCUCCAGACUCUGUAAAUGUCCGCUGGAGGGGGAAACCCAUCCCCAAUUGAGAGUCACUGCUCUAUAUCAAUAAAUCUCAAACUCGGCGACUCAUUUAUACUCACUUGGACUUUUUUUUUUUGCUUUUUAGGGCUGCGGCGUCAGCAUAUGGAAGUUCCUAGGCUAGGGGUCAAAUUGGAGGUGCAGCUGCUGGCCUAUGCCAGAGCCACUGCAACAGGAGAUCCAAGCUGCCUCUAAGACCUACACCAGAGCUCGAAGCAAUGCCCACGGAGUAAGGCCAGGGAUCAAACCCACAUCCUCAGGGAUACCGGUCGGGUUCUUAACCCACUCAGCCACAACGGAAACUCCAUAGACUCACCUCGACCUUUAGACUCAGACUUGAAUUCAGGGGAACUGGGUUCCAAAUCCUGGAUCUGUCACUUACUUUGCAAGCCUGGACAAGAUGCUGAACAUUUUUAAGCCUCAGUUUUAUCAUCUUAAAAUGAAUAAACCCCACUUAGCAUAUACAACGGUUUUGAAGAGUACACCAUCGAUAAUGCAAACCUAGUAAAGUUUCAAUGAAUGAACUGUGUAAAACUUCUAAAAUAGCUCCUAAGGCACAAGGGCAACGAGUUGGGGAAAGCGCACGAUGCCACCAGGUGGAGCAAUGACAAACCACAGCAGAUGGGUGGUGGUGGUGGCUGAGCUCAGAUCUUGUUUCCCAGACAGGGACACUUGGGGUGAGAGGAAAUAACAUGCUCUUGUCUGCCCACACCCCAAAUCCUCAAAAUCAAAUCUGAUCUUAUUUUAUCUCUAAAAUAACCACAUACAUUCUUAAGAUGCUUUUCACAGGUCAGAGGGGAAAAAGAACUAGCUGAGAAAUUACAAGAAUAUUAGGGAAUAAAUGACAAUAAUGAAUAAUCAUUACUUAUAAGAUUACUUAUUAAUUAUAAACCGGCAGUAAUAGCUCCCAUCUGUUAAGCAAUCCUGUGUGGCAGGCAUUGUCCUAAGCACUUUGCACAUAUUACCUCAUGUGUCCUCACAGAUAUCUAAUGUGUUUUCUUUGUUUUUAUUAUUGUGGUUGCCAGCAGCUUGUGGAAGUUCCCAGGCCAGACACUGAAGCUGAGCCACAGUAGUGCCUGAGCCGCUGCAGAGACAACACCAGACCUUUAACCUGCUGUGCCACAAGGGAACUUCCUGUCUAAUGUAUUUUUACAUUCAGUUAAAAUUAAAAUUUUUAACUUUUCAUUUUUCAGACUUCAAAAAUGUCAUAAAAAGGAUCAGGGUUCCCAUAGAUCAAAAAACUCCAUAGUUUUAUUUUUUGUUUUUCAAAUAACACCGCAUACAGCAAUAAUAUGAUUAUCAAAACCAGAAGAUUAACAAUGAUAUAACAAUAAUAUAAAACUAUUAUCAAUGGCACAAAUUUUUCAGACUUUGCUUUGAUGUCCUUUUCCUGGUCCAGAAUCCAGUCCAGGAUCCCACACUGAAAAAAAGAUCUCCUGUCUCCUGGUCUCCUUCAAUCUAGGGCAGUUUCUCAGCCUUCCUUGUCUUUCAUGACCUUGACACUUUUGAAGAGUACCAUCAUUAAUUUCAUAGAAUGCCCCUCAGUUUAUCUGGCCGUUUCCUCGUAUCUAAAUUCAGAUUAUGCAUUUUGGGCACUAAUACCACAGAAGUGAUGUUUGCCUUCUCGGUGCAGCACAGCAGAAGACCCACGAUAACAAAAUCUCUCGUGACGGGUGAUGUUAAGUUUCAACACUGGUUAAGGUGGUGUUGAUAAAACUACUAUUUUCCCAUUGUAAUUAACAAAUAUCUUGCGGGAGGUACUUUGAGACUAUGCAAAUAGCCUUUUUUUCUCAUCAUAAUUUUUCCCAUUAAUUUUUAAAAUCCAUUGAUGAUUCUUGCCUCCAACAAGCAUUACCAUGGUCUCAGCAAAAUGGUGAUUUUCUAUUUCCUUCAUUCCUUCUACAUUUAUUAAGAUUCUACUAUAUGAAAGAGCUGUCCCUUCUCUCCCACUUACUUAUUCAAUAUUUAUUUAUAGAAGUAAAGACUCAGGGAUAUUUGUGGAGUAUAAUCCACUAUUACCCUUAUUUCUAAUGUUACUCAUAUUGUCCCACUGUUGCUCACUGGCCACUGGGCUCGAGGUGGUUUCAGUGAGUUCUGACAUGUCUUGACAUGUCAUUUCCUGAAUUUCUCACACCACAAAGAUGUUCCAGGCUCAACUUGUACUUCCCUUCCCCAGCCCUGGAGUCAGCCGUUUCUCCACAGAGUCCUGGUUCCUUUCAAGGGAGAAUGAUAGUCACAAACCUGGGCACAAGAUAUUGCCCGUUGCUACAAAGGCCUUCUGGUGGACAGAGCUAGGAAACAGACAAUGCAUACACACACCAAUGUACUUUCUUCAGCUCUGUUUUACAAAUUAUAUAAAUGAGGCACAGAAACAUUUAGCAACUUGUCCAAAAUUACAAUGCUAAUAAGUAGUGGCACUGAGACGUCAAAAUAAUAAGAGAUCUACCACAAAACCUAACAAGUGGAAAUGACUUUUUUACACAGGCAAGUCUGCAGAAAGCAAGAAGCCUAAUACUCCAGCAUAAACACUCCCUUUGGGAAGUAACUAGAAAUCUGCAAAAACAAUGAGGAUAAUAACCAUUGUGUACUGAACACCUGCUUGGGCCCUGGGCCCACAGUAGCUCCUUUAGUCCUAACGACACUGCCAGGUGGAUACUAAUAUCCACUCUGCAAACCAGAGAACCAAAGAUCAUAGAAGCUAAGUGACUUCUGCAAGAUUACAUAGGUAAGAUCCAUAGGUCUGCCGGCAUGUAAAGUCCAUGCUCUUUCAUUGUAUUAAUAUUUUCCAAAACUGAUUUUAGGUAGAACAUAAACUAGCUUAUACUUUAAUAUUCAUAUACUUAUUUUAAUGCAUGUAUAAAAAAUCUAAGCGCAUAUCAAACUCAUAAUCUCACAGAAAAUAUUGCACAGGAAAAAGCUAUUGUGUAAAUUAACUUUAAAAAAAAUUUUUUUAAUUUUUUUUGUCUUUUUAGGGCAUAUGGAGGUUCCCAGGCUAGGGGUCAAACUGGAGCUACAACUGCCAGUCUAUACCACAGCCACAGCAAUGCCAGAUCUGAGCCACGUCUGUGACCUCCACCACAGCUCAUGGCAAUGCCAGAUCCUUAACCCACUGAGCAAGGCCAGGGAUUGAACCUGUGUCCUCAUGGAUGCUAGUCAGAUUCGUUUCCGCUGAGCCACAACGGGAACUCCAAUAAAUUAACUUUAUUUAAGAAAAAUUAUAAAGUAAAUAGUAGAAGAGGUGGUAUAAGUUAUAGCAAAAAAUCAUAAAAGUGGUCCAAAAAUGUCUGAUGUUUCUUUUGAUAGCCAUAAUACUAUAGUAACACGCAGCUUCAUUUUCAGAUGAGUCACCAUUACCUUUGUGAACUUGGGCAUUUCAUUCGCUCUCUCUGGGUCUCAGUUUCCUCACC
rnacentral:lncRNA from 1 species